GACGAACGCUGGCGGCGUGCUUAACACAUGCAAGUCGAACGGUGAAGCGCCUUCCUUUUUGGUGGGUGUGGAUGAGUGGCGAACGGGUGAGUAACACGUGCGUAACCUGCCCCCUUCUUCUGGAUAACCGCAUGAAAGUGUCGCUAAUACGGGAUAUUCUGGGUCUGUCGCAUGAUGGGUCUGUGAAAGAUAUUGUUUCGGUGGGGGAUGGGCUCGCGGCCUAUCAGCUUGUUGGUGGGGUGAUGGCCUACCAAGGCGGUGCGGGGUAGCCGGCCUGAGAGGGUGGGCGGUCACACUGGGGCGGAGACGCGGAGCAGACUCCUACGGGAGGCAGCGGGGGAGAAUAGUGAACAGGGGGAGCAAGCAUGAUGCAGCGACGCGGCGGGGGGGAUGGAGGCCGUCGGGUUGUGAACCUCUUUCGCCAGUGAAGCAGGCCUGCCUAGUUUGUGGGUGGGUUGACGGUAGCUGGAGAAGAAGCGCCGGCUAACUACGUG
rnacentral:rRNA from 1 species